GGAAACUGACUAGCCUGAAGUAACUGCCCACGUCUACACGCGGCAGAGAAGCUCGAUUCCCAGAUAAACCCUUUAGUUUGAAUUAACAGUUAAACCUCAUUCCAUUAACUGUUAAUUUAAACUAAGGGGUUUAUCUCGGAUUAUGCGUCUCUGCUGCGUGUAGACGCGGGCAGUUACUUCAGGCUAGUCAGUUUCC
rnacentral:pre_miRNA from 1 species